UGGGGAAUAUUGGACAAUGGGCGAAAGCCUGAUCCAGCCAUGCCGCGUGUGUGAAGAAGGUCUUCGGAUUGUAAAGCACUUUAAGUUGGGAGGAAGGGCAGUAAGCGAAUACCUUGCUGUUUUGACGUUACCGACAGAAUAAGCACCGGCUAACUCUGUGCCAGCAGCCGCGGUAAUACAGAGGGUGCAAGCGUUAAUCGGAAUUACUGGGCGUAAAGCGCGCGUAGGUGGUUCGUUAAGUUGAAUGUGAAAGCCCCGGGCUCAACCUGGGAACUGCAUCCAAAACUGGCGGGCUAGAGUAGGGCAGAGGGUGGUGGAAUUUCCUGUGUAGCGGAGAAAUGCGUAGGUAUAGGAAGGAACACCAGUGGCGAAGGCGACCACCUGGGCUCAUACUGACACUGAGGUGCGAAAGCGUGGGGAGCAAACAGG
rnacentral:rRNA from 1 species